rnacentral:autocatalytically_spliced_intron from 1 species
GAGAGCCACGUGCAUCGAAAGAUGCCCGCGCGGUUCGGAGGGAGGCUGCACGAAAAGGACCGGGCUCAAAACUUGAAC